GUUUCACUUUUUAACUAUAACUCGUAAUAAUCAGAAGUCAUUAUAAUGGUGGUUACCCUUUUCUUUUUAGAAAUAAAAAGAAAUCUCUAUUCUCCACCGAAAAACAAAGACUCAAACUUUAGUUUAGUGGAAAAAGCCCCUUAUCGGAUUUGAACCGAUGACUUACGCCUUACCAUGGCGUUACUCUACCACUGAGUUAAAAGGGCUUGUUUUAUUCGAUUCAUGAAUUAUAGCCUUUUUCCAUUAUGAGUCUACUGCAUAAUAUAUGUACAUGAUAUAUACAUAUAUGCACAUAAUAUAUACAUAGUUCAUUUAGGAGCAAUCAAUUUGAUUUACCCCCCAAAAGUAAAAAGUGGGCAAAUUUUUUAUUUUUUUUUUUGAUAAAAAUAAUGCAGUGAAUUGUUUCAAGACCGACCCCGCUUGUUUACCUUUACUGACUCAUCAAAACAAGAUUCACUUGAUUGAUACAUGUACCAAUCUGACAUCGACAUAGAUUCGAUAGAUUUUCUUGAAUCAUGUGAUGAGGGUAUUCGUACCCUGAACCGAAUUCUUAUAAAAAAAUAAAAAAGAAAAAAGGAAAAUUUCUAUCGUUUUUUAAUUUUCUGACUUAAUGUGAGAUAGUGAUAGGCAUAUUUUAUCUGAACAAUGAACGAAGCAAUGAGUUAAGUUAAAAUUAAUGAGUUAAAAUUGAAGAAAAGAAAUUAAGUGGGGUUCUACCCCCUUUUCUGUUCUGUCGGACCAAUCACUGCCUGAACUGACGGAGUCCUGUACCUCCUUUCGCUAUAUAAAAUAGUAUGGGAUGGUUCAUUCAUGAACCAUCAAAUCCAAAACAAAAUUCUAUGGAAUCAUAACAUAAAAGUAGAAAAGAGUGUUCAGAUCUAGUCAUAUCAUUAGAUUAUAUUGACAAUUCCAAAAAACUACUCAUACUAUCAUCAUAGUAUGAUGACAGUUGGGCGGAUAUGCCCCUAUCGUCUAGUGGUUCAGGACAUCUCUCUUUCAAGGAGGCAGCGGGGAUUCGACUUCCCCUGGGGGUACUACGAAAGGAAGUUGAUCAUGGAUUAUCAAUAAGCCUAGAAGGAAUUCUUCCUGGGUCGAUGCCCGAGCGGUUAAUGGGGACGGACUGUAAAUUCGUUGGCGAUAUGUCUACGCUGGUUCAAAUCCAGCUCGGCCCAAAAAUUCGCCGCUCCAUGAAUAUGAUAUAACCAAUGAUAUAACCAAUUUGUCCCCCAGAAACAAAAAUACCUGAUCCGUAAAAGAGAAAGAGUCCAUUUUUGUUUCUCUAUCCAUGUUUUUCUCAUUCGUUCUGAUCUUUUCUUUCUAACGAUCUAGAUUCAUAAUACUUAAUCAAAGCAAAGAUUAUGAAAGGAAAAAUCGUUUUUUCUCAAUGAAAGGUUGAUUAUCUAUUUUUGGCAAUAAAAUAAAAUAAACACAGGUUACUAGUAAUCCGUGUCACUUUCACUAUAGUCCAUAUCUAUGUGUUCUAUGUGUAUAUGAUAUCAGUUAGUAUAUCAUUCGUGUCUCUGUUACAACGCGACGAAGAAAAUGUUUUUCUGAAACCAUUAAGAAUAUGUAUACCAUACACCUCGCUGGGAUUGUAGUUCAAUUGGUCAGAGCACCGCCCUGUCAAGGCGGAAGCUGCGGGUUCGAGCCCCGUCAGUCCCGAACUAGGAUCCGACCGAUGAAUGGAGAAAUGAAUUUAUCUAUUUUCCGUGAAAAAGGAGACAGGGGGCAAGAUCUAAUCCCCAGUGGAGAUCCUUAUUUCUUUUGUUUUUCAUUUCGCAUUUAUCAUCAGACAAAUACAGGAAUUUCCAUUUCUUCCACUAGUGCCGAGUGAUAAGGGAGAGACAUAACAUAUAUAGAUUCGUACAAUCGGUGGUAUUCCUAUAUUUAGUAUUUUAAGAGAUACUCGUCUGACUUUCUUUUUCGAUUUUCUUGAUAAAUGAAAUAGAAUAGAGUGCUCCUAUUUUUACCGAGAGUACAUACGCAAAUUGUAUUCGUUUAUUGUACAAUACAUAAUGAACUUAACAUAAUUACCUCGACAGAGUACUUGUCAGGUUAAACGACAACCCUUUUUAGCUUCGACUUUGUUUGUGUAUCCUCAAUGACUAAUUGGAAACAAUCUAUCUCAUUCUCAUUUAAAUUGCACACUGAAUUUUUGAUGUAUGCCUUCCAGUCCCAAUCGAAGAAAGAGAUACUAAUCAAAUAAAAGAAAAGACCAAGCAACGUUCCUUUUUAUUAAAUUUGUUGGAAUUAUAUUAGAUCUUUUAUACUUAACCCGUCCUUUUUCCAUCUCACUUCUACUCUUUGGAUCUGUGUGUGAUUCAUAGAAUACCAGUCAUAUAAUACCUCAUAAUUGUAUGUACAUAAUUGUAUGUAUAAGUAUAACGAAGGAGGAGUAUAUAAGGAAGACGGUAGGGUUAUUUAUAGAAAAGAAAAAGUGGAAAAGGAUGAAAAUUCAAUGGGAUUCUUUAUUGGAUCAGGAAUCCCAUUUCAGAUUUAGUAUGGAUAAAGGAUCUUCCUAUGUUAUACUAUUCAAUUCUCGACGAUGAAUCGAUUUGAUAGAUCAGAUAUUGUUAUUCAUAAUAUUGAUCCGAUUCAGUAUCAUCAGGAUGCAAUUCAUCCCAUUGAAUUUACAGGAAUCAAAUUUCUCAUCUCUAUGGGAUUAGAUCCCGAGUUAUUGCGAAGUAAAAAAACAAUGAGAUUAUGGAAGUAAAUAUUCUCGCAUUUAUUGCUACUGCACUGUUCAUUCUAGUUCCUACUGCCUUUUUACUUAUCAUCUACGUAAAAACAGUCAGUCAAAAUGAUUAAUUUGACUGAAACUUGAUUUAUUAGUUCUUAUCAAUGAUUGAAUAAAUGAAAGAAACGGAUUCAAACUCCAAGUCUUAAAUGAAAUGAUCUGUCUGGAAUCAUAAGUAUCUGAGAUAAUAAGUAUCUGAGAUAGUAGUAUCUGAGCCGAGAUAGUAUGGUAUAGUAUUUAUUAUCCUAUUAAUGAUUUUCAUAGAAAGUUGUACUGUAUACAGAUAUAGGCUUUUAUAUAGAGAAAGCCUAUAUCUAGGUCAAUAUACAAUAUGUAUGUACAUAGAUUAGAUGUAUAUCUAAAUAGUACAUCAAAAUAACAGUCCAAUUCUAUUAUUUUUUUGGCUACAUUUACUUGUGUGGAUUUCGAUCAAUUCAAAAUAAUUGAAGACCAACUCUUCUAAUUCCUGGCUUUCUUAGAAUUUAUAUAUAUAUAGGUAUAGGUCCCGAGAUCUAUCAAAGGAAUCAAUGGAGCAAGACAAAAAGAGUAUGGGCAUAUUCUACUAUAAAUUAAAUAAAAAAAAAGAUAAAAGAAAACGAAACCAAAGAAAAGAAUCUUUUUCUUUUUUUAGAUUUCCCAUCUCAAGAAGUCAUUGCUUGAUCUAUUAACAGAUGAUCUGCGGAGUUCUAUUCCAUGAUAACUUCUUCAGAUUUGAAAAAGAAGUAGAUUAAUAGAGUAGACCUUCCCAAUUUUUUAUGCUUAAACAUGACAUGAGAUGAGUCAAAAAAAGCAUAAAAAAAUCUCUAGGAGUCUAAAAAAAAGGUGAAAUGCGCGAUAUGUGGAUCGCUCAACGGAAGAAAGAUCUAAUCUUAUUAUGUGUAGAACCUCUUUGGACAACAACUAGUCAUUUCCAAUAGAAAGUAUGUAUUGUCGUAAUCUAAUAUAAUUAGAAUAGCGGAACGGCUUUCUCUUCUCUUAGAACAGUAAAAGUAAAGAAAGAGGGAAACAAAUAAAGAAAAAAAGAAAAAACCAAUUUCAGAUUUUUUCUUUUUGUAAUAUCCAUAAUUCUGGUAAGAGCUGGUUUAUCAAAAUAGAAUAUUUAGGAAGAAUUCGGUUGGAAAAAAUUUCCUAUCAUGCGUAGAUUUAGGUUUCGAAAUACAACUAUAGUAAUCAUUCAUUCUUUGAUCGAAUGGUUAUUAUUCAUUAUUGUAUUUUCUUAUUCAUUACUGUAUUUCAGUAUAAUUUUGAAACAGAGACAUUCUUUUUUUAAAGCUUUGCAAAACGAUCAAUUAAACAAUUGAUAGAAUUCAAUUACUCAAUCGAUUACUCGAUUAGUAGUACCCCUAGAGUCCACUCCUUCCCCAUACUACGAGUGAGAGGGAAAAUGUAAAGACUACCAUUAAAGCAGCCCAAGCGAGACUUACUAUAUCCAUAUAAAUUAUGUCUCCUAUCUCUAUGAAGGAAUUAUUCCAUUAUUGAUCAAUAAUCAUAGUGGAAUCAAUGGCGCAGAGUCAAAAUGGAAUUCUGACUUAACUUAAGGCUAUUGAUGAACCAAUCCAAUGAAUCUACUCGUAACAAGAUUAUAAGAUUUCUGGUAGAAUCGGGAAGCAUUAAGCAUAAAUACAAUACACACACCUUUUCUCGGAAAAUGAAAUAACAAAGGAAUACUCCUAUCCCAAUGGAACAUGUAGGAGUACUAAGACCUAUUGUUUGUUACCCUUUUUCAUAAGCAAAAGACAUCAAAAUAUACCAUCAAGAUAGAUAACUAUCUAUCAGAUACCUCUAUUUCCUAUUUGAUCUAAGCCUUACUGUUUUUUUUGUGAAAGAAUGGGGAGACACCAUCACCAGUAUUACAUACAUUCUUUCUUUUUUUCGUAAUCCCCCUAUCUUACACGGGCAAAGAAAUUCCUACACGGGCAAAGAAAUUUUUUUGUUUCUUCAACUUUUACUUUUACUCUUUACUCAAUAAGAGCCGACCAACUAUCCUGAUUGAAUGUUUGAGUACUCAGAGACUCUCGUGAGUCUGGAUACAAAGUAUCUUCAGUCCUUUCCACAACUUCUAAAUUGAUUUCCCAUCAGCCUAUCCAAUCGAAUUCCAGACAGAGUCAGUAGACACAACGGUGGUAGUGUAAAAUAAUUAGGAAUUCUUGAUAGUCUUUCGUACAAUCUCUUCUUCAAUCCUAGUAGCAAAAAUGGAGUGUCCUUUAGGAACCUUUGGAUACCAAGAUUUCCGACCUCUUACUUUCGUAGUUUUGAAUCCCAGAAUUUACUUUCACUAUUUAUUUAUUCUACUUAUAAAAUAAAUGUCCGAACCAAUCAUAAUCAUAUUAAAAUCAUAAUCAUAUUAAUAAGUAAGGCUUACUUCAUCCCUAUUUGUACCGGUUUGGGCCACACCCAAAGCCCGGAUUUUUAGAAAAAAAUUGACUUUCUUUAAAAAAAUUGACUUUCUUUAUAGAACUACAGAUUCUAAAAAUAAAGUAUCGAUAGGCUUAUCCUUUUGCCUCUCCUUCUCCGGGGACAGAAUUCGUCGAGUUAAAUCAGCAGAAUAAGAAAUCCCAAGUUUUUUGUUGAUCAGGCGACACCCAGAUUUGAACUGGGGAUAAAGGAUUUGCAGUCCCCCGCCUUACCACUUGGCCAUGUCGCCAAACCAAAUUCGAUCCAAAUAAGAUAAAAAAUAGAUUUCUGGUCAAAGACUGAAAAAUUCAGGGCAAAUUGGAACCAUUAACUAUUUGUUUUGUUGUUUUGAAUUAGCGAAAGGUUCUUCAAUUUGUAUCUCAAAUUGUUGCGUUUCCUUAAUGGCAUAACAAAAUCAAAUUGAUUUAUGACUAAUUCAGUAUCAAUUAUUUUCAAUAAUCAAUCUUUUUCAAUUUCAAUUAUAACAAUAUAAAUUAUAACAAUAUAUAUGUGUAUAUGUAAACCUCAAAACAGAAAUUGUUACACAGAUACCGCUCUUAUGUACAUAUCCCAUAUCCCUAUAGAGAAUCGUCGUGCCUUCUUUUUUCAUUUUCUAUAUGCAAUAGAAAAAAUAGGAAUUAUGAUAUAGUGCGACCUGACUUCUGUUGCCACAAGUGAAAUUACGAUAAAAGAUGUGAUAUGCGGACAGGUAGAUAGCUAUAUUGGCAUGCACUUAAUAAAUAUUACUCCUAUUACGCAAUUCAAUCAUAUUCUAUAUAUUCUACUAGCAAAAAAAUAAUUCGAAAUUUUUUUUGAACAUGAAAUGAAACUCAAAUAAAAUUAAGUAUGCUAAAAAGGGAAACUCUAUAUUGUUCCUGUUGUACCUGUCGCAAAUUCGAACUUGCGUCGAAAAUGCUCUUCAUUCCUCUGUCUCAUUUCCGUUCAUACGUAUGAAAUACAUAUAUGGUAUAUGGAGUUGGCUAAAAUUUCAUGUGAUUCAGUAAACAGAAUAUACAUUCCAUCAUUGCUAGAUCGAUCCGUAUGGUUCGAUAAAUAGUGAGCUAAUAAUGGGAUUUUUCAAUAAACAGGAAACUUAAGAUUAAGAUGCUCCGGAAUGAUGGAAAUGAGGGAAUGUCCACAAUACCUGGAUUUAGUCAGAUCCAAUUUGAGGGAUUUUGUAGGUUCAUUAAUGAGGGCUUGACGGAAGAAUUUCAUAAGUUUCCAAAAAUUGAAGAUACAGAUCAAGAAAUUGAAUUUAAAUUAUUUGUGGAAAGAUAUCAAUUGGUAGAACCCUUGAUAAACGAAAGAGAUGCUGUGUAUGAAUCACUCACAUAUUCUUCUGAAUUAUAUGUACCCGCGGGAUUAAUUUGGAAAACCGGUAGAGAUAUGCAAGAACAAACCGUUUUUAUUGGAAACAUUCCCCUAAUGAAUUCCCUGGGAACCUUUAUAGUAAAUGGAAUAUACAGAAUUGUGAUCAAUCAAAUAUUGCAAAGUCCUGGUAUUUACUACCGUUCAGAAUUGGACCAUAACGGAAUUUCUGUCUAUACCAGCACAAUAAUAUCAGAUUGGGGAGGAAGAUCGGAAUUAGAAAUUGAUAGAAAAGCAAGGAUAUGGGCCCGUGUAAGUAGGAAACAAAAAAUAUCUAUUCUAAUUCUAUCAUCAGCUAUGGGUUCGAAUCUAAGAGAAAUUCUAGAUAAUGUUUGUUACCCUGAAAUUUUCUUGUCUUUCCCGAAUGAUAAGGAGAAAAAAAAGAUUGGGUCAAAAGAAAAUGCUAUUUUGGAAUUUUAUCAACAAUUUGCUUGUGUAGGCGGGGAUCCGGUAUUUUCUGAGUCUUUAUGUAAAGAAUUACAAAAGAAAUUUUUUCAACAAAGAUGUGAAUUAGGAAGGAUUGGUCGACGAAAUAUGAACCGGAGACUGAAUCUUGAUAUACCUCAGAACAAUACAUUUUUAUUACCACGAGAUGUAUUGGCUGCUGCGGAUCAUUUGAUCGGAAUUAAAUUUGGAAUGGGUACACUUGACGAUAUGAAUCACUUGAAAAAUAAACGGAUUCGUUCUAUAGCGGAUCUGUUACAGGAUCAAUUCGGACUGGCUCUUGUUCGUUUAGAAAAUGCGGUUCGAGGAACUAUAUGUGGAGCAAUUCGGCAUAAAUUGAUACCGACUCCUCAAAAUUUGGUAACUUCAACUUCAUUAACAACCACUUAUGAAUCGUUUUUUGGCCUACAUCCUUUAUCUCAAGUUUUGGAUCGAACUAAUCCAUUGACACAAAUCGUUCAUGGGCGAAAAUUGAGUUAUUUGGGUCCUGGAGGAUUGACGGGGCGAACUGCUAGUUUUCGGAUACGAGAUAUUCAUCCUAGCCACUAUGGACGUAUUUGUCCAAUUGACACGUCCGAAGGAAUCAAUGUUGGACUUAUUGGAUCCUUAGCCAUUCAUGUGAGGAUUGGCCAUUGGGGAUCUAUAGAGAGUCCAUUUUAUGAAAUAUCUGAAAGAUCAAAAGAGGCACAGAUAGUUUAUUUAUCACCAAAUAGAGAUGAAUAUUCAUAUGGUAGCAGCGGGAAAUUCUUUGGCCUUGAAUCGGGGUAUUCAGGAAGAACAGGUUGUUCCAGCCCGAUACCGUCAAGAGUUCCUGACUAUUGCAUGGGAACAGAUUCAUCUUAGAAGUAUUUUUCCCUUCCAAUAUUUUUCUAUUGGAGCUUCCCUCAUUCCUUUUAUCGAGCAUAAUGAUGCGAAUCGGGCUUUAAUGAGUUCUAAUAUGCAGCGCCAAGCAGUUCCGCUUUCUCAGUCCGAGAGGUGCAUUGUUGGAACUGGACUGGAACGCCAAACGGCUCUGGAUUCGGGGGUUUCCGCUAUAGCCGAACACGAGGGAAAGAUCAUUUAUACUGACCCUCACAAGAUCAUUUUAUCAAGUAAUGGGGACACUACUAUAAGUAUAAGUAUUCCAUUAGUUAUCUAUCAACGUUCCAACAAAAAUACUUGUAUGCAUCAAAAACCUCAGGUUCCGCGGGGUAAAUGCAUUAAAAAAGGACAAAUUUUAGCGGACGGUGGCGGCUACAGUUGGGGGGGAACUUGCUUUAGGAAAAAACGUAUUAGUAGCUUAUAUGCCAUGGGAGGGUUACAAUUCUGAAGACGCAGUACUAAUUAGCGAACGUCUGGUAUAUGAAGAUAUUUAUACUUCUUUUCACAUCCGGAAAUAUGAAAUUCAGACUCAUGUGACAAGCCAAGGACCUGAAAGAAUCACUAAGGAAAUACCACAUCUAGAGGCUCAUUUACUCCGCAAUUUAGACAGAAAUGGAGUUGUGAUGCUGGGAUCUUGGGUAGAAACAGGUGAUAUUUUAGUAGGUAAAUUAACACCUCAGACAGCAAACGAAUCGUCGUAUGCUCCAGAGGAUAGAUUAUUACGAGCCAUACUUGGAAUUCAGGUAUCCACUGCAAAAGAAACUUCUCUAAAACUACCUAUAGGCGGAAGAGGUCGCGUUAUUGAUGUGAGAUGGAUCCGGAAAAAGGGGGGUUCCUGUUAUAAUUCAGAAAUGAUUCGUGUAUAUAUUUCACAGAAACGUGAAAUCAAAGUAGGUGAUAAAGUAGCUGGAAGACAUGGGAAUAAGGGUAUCAUUUCAAAAAUUUUGCCUAGACAAGAUAUGCCCUAUUUGCAAGAUGGAACACCUGUUGAUAUGGUCUUCAACCCAUUAGGAGUACCAUCACGAAUGAAUGUGGGACAGAUAUUUGAAUGCUCGCUCGGGUUAGCGGGGGAUCUGCUAAAGAGACAUUAUAGAAUAGCACCUUUUGAUGAGAGAUAUGAGCAAGAGGCUUCGAGAAAACUAGUGUUUUCCGAAUUAUAUGAAGCCAGUAAGCAAACAAAAAAUCCAUGGGUAUUUGAACCCGAAUAUCCGGGAAAAAGCAGAAUAUUUGAUGGAAGAACAGGAAAUCCUUUUGAACAACCUGUUCUAAUAGGAAAGUCCUAUAUUUUAAAAUUAAUUCAUCAAGUUGAUGAUAAAAUCCAUGGACGUUCUAGUGGACAUUACGCACUUGUUACACAACAACCCCUUAGAGGAAGGGCGAAGCAAGGGGGACAACGAGUAGGGGAAAUGGAAGUUUGGGCUCUAGAGGGAUUUGGUGUUGCUCAUAUUUUACAAGAGAUGCUUACUUAUAAAUCUGAUCAUAUUAGAGCUCGUCAAGAAGUACUUGGUGCUACGAUCAUUGGAGGAAGAGUAUCUAACCCAGAAGAUGCUCCAGAAUCUUUUCGAUUGCUCGUUCGAGAACUACGAUCUUUAGCUCUAGAACUGAAUCAUUUCCUUGUAUCUGAGAAGAACUUCCAGAUUAAUAGGAAGGAAGCUUGAUCUGAAUGAAUCAGAAUUUCUAUUCUAUGAUUGACCGGUAUAAACAUCAACAACUUCGAAUUGGACUAGUUUCUCCUCAACAAAUAAAGGCUUGGGCCAACAAAAUUUUACCUAAUGGAGAGAUAGUUGGAGAGGUGACAAAGCCCUAUACGUUUCAUUAUAAGACCAAUAAACCAGAAAAAGAUGGAUUGUUUUGUGAAAGAAUCUCUGGGCCCAUAAAAAGUGGAAUUUGUGCUUGUGGAAAUUAUCGAGUGAUUGGAGCUGAAAAAGAAGACCCGAAAUUUUGUGAACAAUGCGGGGUGGAAUUUGUUGAUUCUCGGAUACGAAGAUAUCAAAUGGGAUACAUCAAACUCGCAUGUCCAGUGACUCAUGUGUGGUAUUUGAAACGUCUUCCUAGUUAUAUCGCGAAU